rnacentral:rRNA from 1 species
AUUGAACGCUGGCGGCAGGCCUAACACAUGCCAGUCGAGCGGAUGAAGGGAGCUUGCUCCUGGAUUCAGCGGCGGACGGGUGAGUAAUGCCUAGGAAUCUGCCUGGUAGUGGGGGAUAACGUCCGGAAACGGGCGCUAAUACCGCAUACGUCCUGAGGGAGAAAGUGGGGGAUCUUCGGACCUCACGCUAUCAGAUGAGCCUAGGUCGGAUUAGCUAGUUGGUGGGGUAAAGGCCUACCAAGGCGACGAUCCGUAACUGGUCUGAGAGGAUGAUCAGUCACACUGGAAAUGAGACACGGUCCAGACUACUACGGGAGGCAGCAGUGGGGAAUAUUGGACAAUGGGCGAAAGCCUGAUCCAGCCAUGCCGCGUGUGUGAAGAAGGUCUUCGGAUUGUAAAGCACUUUAAGUUGGGAGGAAGGGCAGUAAGUUAAUACCUUGCUGUUUUGACGUUACCAACAGAAUAAGCACCGGCUAACUUCGUG